AAAUAUUGAUAACUCAUAGAAAAAUAAGCAAAGAUUAUGAAGAGCAAUUCAUAGAAAUAAAUGUUCAAAUUCACUAAUAAUCAAAGAAGUUCAAAUUAAAAUACAAAUUUAUCAAUUUGACAGAAAUAAUUGAGUGCAAUUGUCCGGUAUUGGUGUGGGUGCAAGUGUACAUUGAUGCAAAUCAUUAAGGAGGAUUAAGAUUGCAAUGUCUAACCCUUUUACUCAGCAAUUCCAUUUCUGGGAACUCUACAAAAAUAUUUACAUAAGUGCCCCAAAGUGAUAUAUAAAGAAUGUUUACUGUAGUAUGGUUUGUAAUAAAGAAAAACUGGAAAUAACCUAAAGGUUCGUGAGUUGGGCCUGAUUAAAUAAAUUAUGGUAAAAUCAAGCACCAAAUUGUCAAAUAUGUACUAGGAGGGUGAGGAGUUGAGAGGAAAAACCUGGCAGAAACAUCAAACUCCUAAUUUUGUAGCCCAGAGGUCACUCCACUUGGGUAGUAGGAAAGAACUUGGAGGUCUUCUAGGUUUAACUCUUUUAUUUUAUAGAUGAGGGAUCUAAUCCCUGACCGAUAGUCAUCCAGCUUCUAUUUGAGUCUUCAGGUGGAAACCCUGGCUGUGAAACUUCCUUCCUUCAGAGCAAAUCUGACUCUGAAAACUACUUGUCAAAAGAGAGCAGCUAAGGAGACAGAAGGUGACGGAUGGGAGUCACAGGACAGAGAGUUCAAGGGACAAGGCAAGAAGAUUCACUCUCACCAUUCCCACUCUAUAUUGCAGUAGAAGUCCUAGCCAGUGCAAUAUGGCAACAAAAAGAGAUAAGUUAUAUGACUGAAAAGAAAGAAAUAAAAGUCUCUCUAUUCACAGAUGAUGUAGAAACUCCCAAGGAAUCUGAAGAAAAACUAUCAGAACUAACAGCAGGAAGAAUAAGGAAGGAUGGGAACAUAUUUUCUGGCAGAUGGUAUCUGGGAACAGAUGACAGAGAGAAGACAGCCCUACCCACCUCCAGCGGUGGAGGAAACAGUCUUCCAGGAACAUAUCCACUGACCUUCCUCAGCCCCCACUCCUGGCUGGGCACAUUGGCUUCAGGGGGCCUGAUGAGUGACUUCCUUCUGAUCCUCCAAAUCCACAUUCAGGACCUUGGCUUCCCUAGCUCUCCCCACAAUUGGAAACCCUUUCCAGGGAACAGCUAGAAACAGAGAGAACUCCCUGGCUUCUCCUGCUCUCAGCUCUCAGCCUUCCCCAUGGGACUCCACUGCCCAGUCUCGACACUGCCUGCAGAAGGAUGUCUUGUGCAGAGCCAGGGGCGGCCCUCCUGGAGGCCUCUCAGAGACCCCCUACUCCAACUCUCUCAUUUUACAGACGUGCAGACUGAGAUAGGAGGGAGAAGUGAGCUCCCUCGCUCCCAUGGAGCAUUCCAGAUGCCAGAAAUGCUUUACCCGAGAGGCCUCAAAUGCCUCCCACCUGCCAUCUCCAGUGAGUCCUUGCUGUGAACUAGACACCGUGUAAGGACUCAUACGUGAGGAGCUUGGAAGUCACCACUCUCUCCUAACAAAAAGCAAAAUCCUGGACAGACUGAAAAAUCAACUGCUCUUCUUGAGUCUGUAAGAGAGAUGAGGACACGGAGCAAACCACUGCGCCCAAGAUCAGAAAGACAGACAGGCCUAUACAAGAAGUCACAGCUUACGGAUGAAGACUGAACUCUGAUCUUUUUCUUUGCCCCCCCCCCAAUUCCUUUCUAAGGGGUCCUGGUGAGUCACGCCUACAAAUGAUUAAAAACUCAGUAAACAGGU